CCCAGACUCCUACGGGAGGCAGCAGUGGGGGAUAUUGCACAAUGGGGGAAACCCUGAUGCAGCGACGCCGCGUGAGUGAAGAAGUAUUUCGGUAUGUAAAGCUCUAUCAGCAGGGAAGAAAAAAGACGGUACCUGACUAAGAAGCCCCGGCUAACUACGUGCCAGCAGCCGCGGUAAUACGUAGGGGGCAAGCGUUAUCCGGAUUUACUGGGUGUAAAGGGAGCGUAGACGGCAAUACAAGUCGGAAGUGAAAUACCCGGGCUCAACCUGGGAACUGCUUUGGAAACUGUAUGGCUGGAGUGCUGGAGAGGUAAGCGGAAUUCCUAGUGUAGCGGUGAAAUGCGUAGAUAUUAGGAGGAACACCAGUGGCGAAGGCGGCUUACUGGACAGUAACUGACGUUGAGGCUCGAAAGCGUGGGAAGCAAACAGGAUUAGAUACCCUCGUAAUG
rnacentral:rRNA from 1 species